rnacentral:misc_RNA from 1 species
UAUCUGUAGGUGAACCUGCAGAUGGAUCAUUUAAGAGUAAGGGCGCUCGCAAGAGGCCUGCCACUCAUUACACACACUUUGUGCACUUGAAAGUCGAGGAAGUCUCUUUGAGAAACGGCUUAACCGCCUGCUUUCUUUGAGGCCCUCACCCAAAACACCUGUAUGUUAAAGUUGAUGAUGUCAAUACAAUUGAUAAACGAAAGUAAAACUUUCAGCAACGGAUCUCUUGGCUCUCGCAUCGAUGAAGAACGCAGC